CGGCGGACCCUUUUCAUUCUGUUAUACAGAGAAACGGCGGUUGAGAAGGGGUUCAGAGGUAGAUGCUCUGUGUUUUUGUCAUCUCCAAAAAGUACGAAGCAAAGUGUAACAAAAGAUGAUGGGAGACAAAAGGCAUUUCGGAUCCUUUGAGAUUUUUCCCUUUUGUACUUGUUCUGAAAAAAGUGGCAGAACUCUUCUGUAAUUUAUAGCACUGAGUUCUUGGAUUUAAUGUUUUUUGUGUUGUACGAAUAAGUUUUGAUGAUGGGUACAAUUGAUUUUGUAUACUUUUGUAUAAAAUGCAUACAUCUCCAGCUGUUCCUCAUACCCUGUUGCUCGUUUUGGU